AAUAAUACAAUGCAAAACAGUAC
rnacentral:snRNA from 1 species